rnacentral:misc_RNA from 1 species
AAACAAGUUCAGAACAACAAACACAGAGAACACUAAAUACUAAAAUCAACAGAAUCCGCAUAAUAAGAGUAAAGAUAGGAAACAUCCCUAAUUAAACAAAAUAGUGCAAAUGCAAUCAAAAUCAAAACCAGCAGACUCAAGACCCGAUAACAUACCAAAACCAAAACGCCGCGAUCAUGCAGUAACAGCGGCACCAGCAGCAGCAAGUCGUUUCCUCGCCUCCUCAAUGAUGCUCAGCUUGAUACCCUUCCCCUUCGGAAGGGAGACCCAUGGCUUUGUUCCCUUACCGAUGGUGAACACAUUCCCAAGGCGAGUCGCAAACUCGUGACCGGUUGCAUCUUGGACAUGGAUCGUCUCAAAGCUGCCCUUAUGCUUCUCCCGGUUCUUGAUUAUGCCAACUCGUCCAGUGUUCCUCCCACCAGUAACCAUCACCACAUUCCCCACAUCAAAUUUGAUAAAGUCAAUAAUCUUGUUAGUUUCCAAAUCAAGCUUGAUGGUAUCAUUGGCCUUGAUGAGAGGAUCUGGGUAGCGAAUGGUCCUGCCAUCAUAGGUGUUCAGGUAGGGAAUGCCUUUCUGCCCAAACUGCACAGACCUCACCUUGCACAACUUAAACUUUCCCUCCUCAUCCUUUAUAGAGUGGAGACGGAAGCGACCCUUGGUGUCAAAGAGGAGGCGGUAGUUCUCAUUUGUCUUCGGAAUAGAGACGACAUCCAUGAAGCCGGCAGGGUAGGUCUUGUCGGUCCGGACUUUACCAUCAACCAUGACAUGUCGCUGCAUGAGAAUUGAUUGAACUUCACGGUAGGUAAGAGCAUACUUCAACUUAUUUCGGAGAAUAAGGAUAAGAGGCAAACACUCCCUUGCUUUGUGGGGACCAGAUGACGGCUUGGGAGCAAAUGCACCGCCAAGCUUAUCAAGCAUCCAAUGCUUCGGGGCAUUGAGCCUCUUGAGAUGCUUCUUCAAACCCCUAGCCAUGAUUGUUCGAGUUCGG